rnacentral:rRNA from 1 species
AACGUACGCUGGCGGCACGCCUAACACAUGCAAGUCGAACGAAGUAGCAAUACUUAGUGGCAGACGGGUGAGUAACAUGUAGGUAUCUGCCCUUUGGCCUGGAAUAACACGAGGAAACUUGUGCUAAUACCGGAUAAGUCUUUACGGAGAAAGCUUUAUGCACCAUUGGAUGAGCCUGCACUUGAUUAGUUUGUUGGUGGGGUAAUGGCCUACCAAGACUGUGAUCAAUAGCUGAUUUGAGAGGAUGAUCAGCCACAUUGGGACUGAGACACGGCCCAAACUCCUACGGGAGGCAGCAGUGGGGAAUCUUGCACAAUGGAGGAAACUCUGAUGCAGCGAUGCCGCGUGAGUGAAGAAGGCCUUUGGGUUGUAAAGCUCUUUCGUCGGGGAAGAAAAUGACUGUACCCGAAUAAGAAGGUCCGGCUAACUUCGUGCCAGCAGCCGCGGUAAUACGAAGGGACCUAGCGUAGUUCGGAAUUACUGGGCUUAAAGAGUUCGUAGGUGGUUGAAAAAGUUAGUGGUGAAAUCCCAGAGCUUAACUCUGGAACUGCCAUUAAAACUUUUCAGCUAGAGUAUGAUAGAGGAAAGCAGAAUUUCUAGUGUAGAGGUGAAAUUCGUAGAUAUUAGAAAGAAUACCAAUUGCGAAGGCAGCUUUCUGGAUCAUUACUGACACUGAGGAACGAAAGCAUGGGUAGCGAAGAGGAUUAGAUACCCUCGUAGUCCAUGCCGUAAACGAUGUGUGUUAGACGUUGGAAAUUUAUUUUCAGUGUCGCAGGGAAACCGAUAAACACACCGCCUGGGGAGUACGACCGCAAGGUUAAAACUCAAAUGAAUUGACGGGGACCCGCACAAGUAGUGGAGCAUGUGGUUUAAUUCGAAGAUACGCGCAGAACCUUACCAACACUUGACAUGUUCGUCGCGACUCUAAGAGAUUAGAGUUUUCGGUUCGGCCGGACGAAACACAGGUGCUGCAUGGCUGUCGUCAGCUCGUGUCGUGAGAUGUUGGGUUAAGUCCCGCAACGAGCGCAACCCUCACUUUUAGUUGCCAUCAUUAAGUUGGGCACUCUGAAAGAACUGCCAGUGAUAAGCUGGAGGAAGGUGGGGAUGACGUCAAGUCCUCAUGGCCCUUACGUGUUGGGCUACACACGUGCUACAAUGGUAUCUACAACAGGAAGCAAGACUGCGAAGUUAAGCAAAUCCCUAAAAGAUACCUCAGUUCGGAUUGCACUCUGCAACUCGAGCGCAUGAAGCUGGAAUUACUAGUAAUCGUGGAUCAGCGUGCCACGGUGAAUGCGUUCCCGGGUCU